rnacentral:tRNA from 1 species
GGUCCAAUGGUGUAGUGGUUAGCGCGCAUGGGGUAGUGGACGCGGAAGGCUGUCCCGUGAGGCCCAGGUUCGAGUCCUGGUUGGACCA